AGGAGGAACAACCCCAGUGGCGGGGCCAGCUCUGGAGUCCUGGAUUCAGCUCCUGCAGUAGCUAAGGAGCUCUCGGUCUGCAGGGCCUGGAGUCUCCGGGGCAGG
rnacentral:pre_miRNA from 1 species